rnacentral:rRNA from 1 species
CCCGCUGAACUUAAGCAUAUCAAUAAGCGGAGGAAAAGAAACUAACAAGGAUUCCCCUAGUAACUGCGAGUGAAGCGGGAAAAGCUCAAAUUUAAAAUCUGGUGGUCUUUGGCCAUCCGAGUUGUAAUUUAGAGAAGUGUCUUCCGCGCUGGACCAUGCACAUGUCUCCUGGAAUGGAGCGUCAUAGAGGGUGAGAAUCCCGUCUUUGGCAUGGACACACCAGGGCUUCUGUGAUGCGCUCUCGAAGAGUCGAGUUGUUUGGGAAUGCAGCUCAAAAUGGGUGGUGAACUCCAUCUAAAGCUAAAUAUUGGCGAGAGACCGAUAGCGAACAAGUACCGUGAGGGAAAGAUGAAAAGCACUUUGGAAAGAGAGUGAAACAGUACGUGAAAUUGUUGAAAGGGAAACGCUUGAAGUCAGUCGCGUCUUCUGGAACUCAGCCGUGCUUCUGCUAGGCGCAUUUUCCAGUUUGACGGGUCAGCAUCGGUUUCGGUGGGCAGACAAAGGCGCAGGGAAGGUGGCCGCUCCGGUGGUGUUAUAGCCCUGCGUUGUAUGUGCCCGCUGGGACCGAGGAAUCCGGCUCGCGCCUGGGAUGCUGGCGUAAUGGCUCUAAGCGACCCGUCUUGAAACACGG